UUUCGCAAUGCCCGAAAGGGUGACGAAGCGACGCCGCGUGAGUGAGGAAGGCCUUCGGGUUGUAAAGCUCUGUCAGGAGUUAAGAAAUAUAAGUGUGCUAAUACCACAUUUAUUUGACGAAGGCUCCAAAGGAAGCCACGGCUAACUCUGUGCCAGCAGCCGCGGUAAUACAGAGGUGGCAAGCGUUGUUCGGAAUUAUUGGGCGUAAAGAGCACGUAGGUGGGUUUGUAAGUCAGAUGUGAAAGCCUUCUGUUCAACGGAAGAAUUGCAUCUGAAACUGCGAGUCUUGAGUGUAGGAGGGGAGAGUGGAACUUCUGGUGGAGCGGUGAAAUGCGUAGAUAUCAGAAGGAACGUCGGCGGCGAAAGCGACUCUCUGGCCUAUUACUGACACUGAGGUGCGAAAGUUAGGGGAGCAAACGGGAUUAGAUACCCCGGUAGUCCUAACCGUAAACGAUGGGCACUAAGUAGAGGGGUUUUA
rnacentral:rRNA from 1 species